CGGCCUUUGGUCGUCCGAGUUGUAGUCUGGAGAAGCGUUUUCUGCGUCGGACCGUGUACAAGUCCCUUGGAACAGGGCGUCACAGAGGGUGAGAAUCCCGUCUUUGACACGGACUGCCGGUGCUUUGUGAUGCGCUCUCGAAGAGUCGAGUUGUUUGGGAAUGCAGCUCANAACGGGUGGUAAAUUCCAUCUAAAGCUAAAUAUUGGCGAAAGACCGAUAGCGAACAAGUACCGUGAGGGAAAGAUGAAAAGCACUUUGGAAAGAGAGUUAAACAGUACGUGAAAUUGUUGAAAGGGAAACGUUUGAAGUCAGUCGCGUCUCUCGGGACUCAGCCUCGCCUCCUCCGGCUUGGUGUACUUCCCGAGAUGACGGGCCAGCAUCGAUUUCGACCGYCGGAGAAGGGCCUUGGGAAUGCGGCACCUUCG
rnacentral:rRNA from 1 species